rnacentral:tRNA from 2 species
GGCCGGUUGGCCCAAUUGGUAAGGCGUCUGACUACGACCAUAGCACACACGCCUUGUGCUCCUUGCAUUCGCAAUCAGGAGAUUCUGGGUUCGAGCCCCAGGCUGGUCA